rnacentral:piRNA from 1 species
UGGCAUGCCUGAAAACAGGGCACAUCGCA